rnacentral:tRNA from 2 species
ACAGUCGUGGCCGAGUGGUUAAGGCGUUGGACUAGCAAUCCAUGGAAGUUUUUCCGCACAGGUUCGAAUCCUGUCGACUGUG